GAGCUAUACUCAGUCUUGCAGUAACCCAAAAGGAAAAAGAGUCUGAAAAAAACAUACACAUACAAAGAACUGAAUCACUUUGCUGUACCCCUGAAACUGACACGACCUUGAAAAUUAACUAUACUUCAAUUUAAAAAAGAAUCAAAAAAGAUAAACACUUCCCUUUACCUUCUAAGUAAAUGUUGGGAAUUUAUGUGGCUGUUGUAUUAUCCCAUUAUCUUUCCCAUGAACUAAAGCUNNNNNNAUGUACCCUCAGAUCAAAGAACUACUCAAACAGACACAUACAAUUUACGCAGUUUUUUCUUUCAAUCAUUCAGUUCAACAAAGAUUUAUUGACAAGUAUUAUAUGCCAGGCUAUGUGGAAGACACAGCAAGUACAAUCAAAAGCAAGAUAGACCUAGUCCCUGUCCUCAUGAGUGUUAUGAGCUUAACAUUGAACAUAGGCACAAAAAAAAACAACUAUAAAUUAAUGCAUAUAUACAUGCAUAAUUUAAAUAUUAAUGUAUAUUAUUAUAGGAAACAAUUACAGGGCAGAGAUGGAGAAUAAGAUGGGAAAAACUACUUUAGGUGAAGUGGCAAGUUAAGGACUCUCCAAGUGAUAGUUAGGCUGACUUUGAGGAUGAAGCAGCCAAGCACAAAAUGACUGGGAAGGAGCAAGUUGCUCUGAAGUGGAGAAGACAUGUGUCCUGGGGAACCACAAUGGGCACCUGAUGAAAUCAGAGAGACAAGCAGAGGAUGAGGAGUUUAAAAUUCUAGUCUAACUGAGGUGGGAAACCACGAGAAGAUUUAGGGGAGUAUCAUGAUGUGAUGUUCCCUUUUGCCCCUCUCUGGAUAUUUCCUGUUUGUUGCUCAUUCAAGCAAUGCUCCAUCUUGCCCAGGUGUCCGGUGCGCUUAUGCAAGAGUCUCUCCAAGGUACCUACCUAGGAGAGGAACAGUGGGCCCCUAUUAUGGACAUGAUUAACUUUACUCCUCAUGUCAAAUUCCAUUUCAAAGUUCUGUCAUUGAUGCUACUACCAGCAGUUAUUCUGCUUCAUCAACAUUGCCAUUAUCUAAAUUUUCAUUUUUUUCUAAUCUGCAGGGUAUGAAAUGUCAUUUCAAAAUAAAUGGUUUUAAUGUGCAUGUCUCCUAUUAAGACAAGAGAAGCAUCUUUUCAGUAUGUUUAUUGGUCAUUUUCAUCUCCUCAUCUUUUAAAUUACUGCUUAUGAAUUUAUGACCCUUUGGGGAAGCAGAAAUGGAGAGAGAGAGAUUACUAAUUUUUCCUUAUUUUUAGAUAGCUUUUGAAAUACUCCCAAUACUGAUCUUUUGUUAGCUAUGUGUGUUGCAAACGUUUUAUUCCAGCAUACGACUUGUCUGUUCAUGUUGCCUAUUAUGUCUGAGCUCUUAUUUUUAACUUAUUAGUUUGCUUAUUUUAUUUAAGUAUAGUUGACUUACAACAUUUCAGGUGUACAACAUGGUAAUUCAAUACUUUUAUAGACUGUACUCCAUAUAAAGUUACUAUAAAAUAUUGACUACAUUCCCUGUGCUAAACAUUACAUCCUUGUCAAUUAUUUAUUUUAUACCUAGUAGUUUGUACCUUUUAAUCACCUUGACCUAUUUUGUCCCUGACCCUACUACUCUCCUCUCUGGUAAUCACUAGUUUGUUCUCUGUAUCUGUGAGUCUAUUACUGUUUUGUUAUAUUUUUUCAUUUGUUGUCUUUCUCUGACUUAUUUCACUAAACAUAAUAUCCUGCAGGUCCAUUCAUGUUGUUGACAAAAUUUCAAUCUUUUUAUAGGUAUAUGAGUAAUAUUCUGUUGUGUAUAUAUACCAAACAUUUAUCCAUUCUUCUGUUGAUGGACAUUUAAGUUGCUUCCAUAUCUUGACUUUUAUAAAUAAUGCUGCUAUGAACACUGAAGUGCAUACAUCUAUUUGAAUUAGUGUUUUUGUUUUCUUUGUAUAAAUACCCAGAAGUAAAAAUACUGAAUUGUAUGGUAGUUCUAUUUUUAAGUUUGUGAAGUACCUCCAUACAGUUUUUCAUAGUGGCUGUACCAAUUUACAUUCCCACCAAUAGUGCAUGGAGUUUCCCUUUUUCCCAUAGCCUCACCAAUGCUAGUUAUUUGUUAUCUUUUUGAUAAUUAGCUGUUCUGACUGGUGUGAGGUGAUAUCUCAUUUUCUUAAUAAUUUGCACUUUCUGUUACUUAAGAACUCCUUACACUCUGAGGUUAUAAGAAUGUGCUUGUGUAUUUUCUUCUAAAAAUAUGUUUUCUUUUCAAACUAGGAUCCUUUAUGUAUUUGGAAUUUAUCUUUGUUUCUGGUGUGAAUUAAGGCAUCAUCUAAUCAUUUAUAGGGAUAAUGAAUUCUUCCCUGGUGGCCUAGACCAUAAAGAAUCCAUCUGCAAGGCAGGAGACUUGGGUUCGAUCACUGGGUUAGGAAGAUCCCCGGGUUAGGAAGAUCCCCUGGAGCAGAGCAUGGAAACCCACUCCAGUAUUCCUGCCUGGAGAAUUCUAUGGCCAGAGGAGCCUGGCAGGCCACAGUCCAAGGGAUCACAAAGAGUCAGACAUGACUAAGCCACUAAGCACAGUACAGCACAUGUAUUUGGAAUUAUUUUUGUUUCUGCUGUGAAUUAAGGAAUCAUCUAGUCAUUUAUAUGGAUAAUGAAUUAUCCCAGCUUAUUUAUCGAAUAGACUUUCCUUCCCCAUUAAUCUGCAAUGCAGCUCUAUCACACAUUGCUGUCUUCAUUACUGUCACUUACAAGGAAAGUUUUUUAUCUGAUAAGACAAGACUUCUUACCUACUUCAGAAGUGAUUUGCUACUUUUGACCCUUUGCUCUUCCAUUUAAAUUUUAGAAUGUGGCUUGUCAAGUCAAGAUUUAUUUUUAAAGUUGAAAUUGCAGAAAAUCUAUUGCUCAAUUUGAGAAAAUGUGACAUUUCAUGGCGUUCCAUAUACCUACUCAUAUACAUGAUGGGGUCUCCAUUUAUUAUGUCUUUAAUAUCCUUUGAUAAAGUUUUUGAGAAUUCUACACAGAAAUCUUGCACAUCAUUUGUUAGACUUAUUUCUAGGUACUUUACACCUUUGUUGUUUUUGGAAAUUUUAAUUGGAUUUUAUUUUGUUGAUGUACAGAAAUAUAAUUGAAUUUCUAAAUUGAUCUUAUAUCCACAUUCUUGCUAAAUCUUAUUAAUGUUAACAAUCUGUAGACUGUGUUUUUUGUAGACAAUAAUAUUAUUUGACAAUUAAAAAAAAUUUUUUUUACCUUUCUGAACUUUAGUCCUUCUAAAUUGUUUUUAAUUAUACAAGCAAGGAACUCCAUAUAAUGUUGAGUAGAAAUACUAAUUCCAGGCUUUCUCAUUUUGUUCCUAAUUUAAAAUGAAAUGCUUUUAUUUCAGAUUUUAUCAACUUUUCUGAGGUUAAAGAAGUUUCCUUCUUGUUGAGGUUUUUUAAAGGGUUGUUGAAUCUAUUGAGUGCUUCUCCAGCCUCCACUAAGAGGAUCCUCAUUCGAAAAUCUCUGGCACUCAUAAAGCACCCAGCACUUCAUUUGAAGUUCAUGAAAAGUCAUCAUUUCCCAAAAUACAGAACACUGGAAGGCCUUGAAAAACACGAAUUGCUUUAAGCUUCAUAAAUAGACUGGAAAAGGCUCUGAUGAAUUAACAGUUCAAUAACUUAGUCACUCAGCAAAUAAAAAUCAGGUAUUUUUAAGUUAGUUUUUGGAGAUUUACUAUACAAAUUAGCCAUUAGGUCUAUUGCUUUUAAAAAAAAUUGUUUCUCCAAAAUAUUUCUUUUUAGAUUGUCAGUCUAUUUCCAUUUUAGGCAAAGAUGAAAGUUGCCCAGUGAAGCUAAUGUGUUAAAAGGGGCGCCAUGGGCUUUGGGGGCAUAAACAAGGGCCAAGAUGACAACAAAAGAGGGCAAAUAUGGGGCAGUACCGAGCUGGGGUGUGAAACCAGGAUGGAACCAGUGCUGGGCUACGGUUUGGGGAACCACUCCAGGCUGCAGUGGACGAUGAACUUGGUAGGUUCAAAACAGCCUUGAGUCACUUUCACUGUGCCUCCUCUUAGUGGCUCCAGUGACCCUGCUUCCACUCCUCUGCUCGUCAGUUGUCAUCAGUGAGUGGUAGAGGAGAUGUUGACCCUUCCUCCCUUCCACUCUCCCCUCCCAAGAGCCUUGCUUUUUCUUAGCCAGUCCUAUUUCUGCAAUUAGGGAAAGGACAGAAGACUAUCUGGUACCUGAAGAACAGGAACAUGGUAGAUACUAUACCUUGAUCCAUUUUUACUAGGUAAGCCCCAUGGCCUCAGCUCCUGUUCACAGGAGUUGUAGAGUUAAGAGUGAUAUUUAGAAGCUAAAGGGAGGUUGAGUUUUAGGAAAUGGCCUUCCUUCUCCAGGAACAGGGGUGAAGGCUAGCAAUCAAAGAAGGCAGGACUGUGUUAAGCGGAAAGAUAAUAGUGUCCUGAGUACAAGGCAAGUAUUUCAGUGAAUGGAGUGAGGUGAGGUAGGGUCAGGUGAGCAGGUGAGGGCAAGAUGGCAGGAUCAGUGAACUCUGCUGGGCCUUGGGGUACAAUGAUGUAGUAGAAGUUAGAACAAGGAGAUGACAUACAGAGGAAGAGGCCUCUUUGAUGGAAGCGUUAGAAUUUUCCAAGAAGAAAAGAGAACUCCCCAGCACUAACAUUGCCAGAAGAGGAGGGACCUACAGUCUCCUUCCCAAACUGUGCCAGACACUUCCCUACUGCCUAAUGAUACAAAGCACCUGGGAUUCUCACAAUACACAUGCUCAAGCCUAUUACCAGGCUUUUGUAAAUGGAGUAAGUCUGAAAAUUCCCAUUCAUCUUUCCAGAUGCACCUCCUGAAAGGCUUAGUAUAACAUCAGAGCUCUUCCC
ensembl:lncRNA